ACGGGGAGCAGCAGGCGCGAAAACUUUACAAUGCGGGCAACCGUGAUAAGGGAACCUCGAGUGCCUGUAUAUGCAGGCUGUCCAGGUGUCUAAA
rnacentral:rRNA from 1 species